UGGAGGGUUACAUGGAGAGGUUUAUAUGUAACAACAAUCAUGCCUUUUCACUUAGUAUAAACCUGUAAAAAUUGGCAACUUAAGCACAGCUAUGUGGCCUAGAACUGGUAGCAUUCUGGCCUAGAGGGAAUUCUAUUUUUUUCUUUUUUUUUGGGUUUUGAUCAUACAUGUAAUGUUUAGCUUCUACUAUAAAGCUAAUUUGAUGUGAUUGGUAUGAUCUCAUGCCGAUAGGUUUUUGAAUGUUUGAUAAGGGAACACGUUCCAAAGAAGAAUCAAAAGCAUGAGUGCAUUGGUAAGUGUUGCAUUAAUAACAAUGCUAUGGCUGAAGAUAUCUUACUCAAUGUGGUUGAAACUUUUUUCCGGGAGAGUUGGUUUGAUAUCAAAGCAUCAAUGG
rnacentral:lncRNA from 1 species